ensembl:lncRNA
CAAACGAACAAUCGGUACACACGGAGAAUCGGUACAAACGAACAAUCGGUACACACGAACAAUCGGUACACACGAACAAUCGGUACACACGAACAAUCGGUACAAACGAACAAUCGGUACACACGAACAAUCGGUACAAACGAACAAUCGGUACACACGAACAAUCGGUACAAACGAACAAUCGGUACAAACGAACAAUCGGUACAAACGAAGAAUCGGUACAACCGAACAAUCGGUACACAAAAACAAUCGUUACACACAAACAAUUGGUACAAACGAACAAUCGGUACACACAAACAAUCGGUAAACACGAAGAAUCGGUACACACGAAGAAUCGGUACACACGAAGAAUCGGUACACACGAAGAAUCGCACAAACGAACAAACGUACAAACGAACAAUCGUACAAACGAAGAAUCGUACAAACGAAGAAUCGGUACACACAAACACUUUGUGUAAAUCAUAAGACUCCCAUUCUCUGUCAGCAGGUUUCUGUCACAAAUCUUCGGCAUAAAGUCUUUAUUUGUUUGCAAACGUACUUCGGGGUCGUGGAUUCAUUUAUUCGUAGUUUUGUCGAUGGAUUUUCAAAGUGAACAACGUAAACGAAAGUGAUUAACAACAAGUCAAACUUACAAUCACAAUUACUUUCGUGAAGUUGUUGUUUUUCUGCUUUCUUCCUCUUUUAAUGUUCAUGGUGUCACAACCUCAUCAUCUCCAGCAUCUGCGUCUCAUCCCCGGUGUGUGUCUGUGUGUGUGUGUGUGUAUCUGUGUGUUUGUGUCUGUGUGUGUGUGUGUGUCUGUAUGUGUGUCUGUGUGUGUUUUUCAGCCUCCAGCGUCUCCCUGAUGAUGAAGCCAUCCAUUAUUUACUAAGAAUUCGAACCCACAGAAAGAAAAAUCACUUAAGAUUUAAUUGGGAACUUUUCCACUGCUGCUGAUGGGAACGUUGACGAGAAGACGAAGAAGACGAAGAAGAAGUUUUUUAACAGGAAAUGAAUGAGACGAAGAUCUAAAAGCUUUAAAGAUUUGCCCACAUUGGAACCAACCCGAGUAUCUCCCGUCCACCUGUCACCUUCUGCUCAGCCUCAAGUCCAACAACCUGUUGGUCCAUGUGUCCUCGUCCCGCAGUGAGACGCAGGUGGGUGUGGAAAUGCCCCCCGCUGACUUCAGCAACAUCAGAUUACUGCUGAAGAGCAGGUUGAAUUAUUCAGGGGGCUGCGAUUGGACGCGACCGUGUGUGUGUUUGUUUUUUGGUGAGGGGGGGGGAGGGGGUCCCGCAGGGUCCCGCCCUGUUUUUCAUUGAGUUUCUCCGGGCGAGCAGGUUAAUGAGCGCACGGCGGCGUCUCUCACAGCGAGGGAGGUGGACACACACACAGAAGACACAAAGCUGGUUCCAUGCGAGUCCUCAGGACGUCCAUGUGACGGUUCAGGACAGUUUGUCUCUGGUGGCACAUUAAUACAUGAGCUUCUGUCCCUCCACUUGAGUCCGUCCCCCCAGAACCGAAGUGAAGCUGCAUCACAUCAGAGUGUAAAACCACUGAUCUUUACUUUUACUUUACAGAGUGUGCACGUGUGUGUGUGUGUGUGUGUGUCUGUGUGUGUCCUAGAUGAGACCGCUGAACCCGGCCGGGUGGCAUGAAAGCCGCUGGACCUGUGACCUUGUAGGCGGGGGGCGAUGGACCUGAACAAACACGGCACCACCUGCUUCCCUUCACAGUGAGAGAACAACACGAGGAACCGGAGACUCUAAAGGAGAACAUGAAGGAUCCUCGUGUUUAUUAUUAAAGGAGUCAACUAUCAGGCUGUGAGGGACAAAGUUAUUCAAAUACCUUUUAUGAAUACGGUGCUCCAGAGCGUCCUUGGGCUCCGAGCGGCAGGCUGCGGGUUGUUUGCUAUAGUUUGUUGAGUGUUUGUGUGUUUGUGUUGUGAGGCUCUGUGUCUCUGGCUGAAGGCCGACUUUUAACGUCCUUCAUUCAAAUUCAAUUUAUCUCCAAAACAUUCUUUCUCUUCUUUCGGACUUUAAGUGUGAUACGUGAAAUGAAUAUUUAUACGUGCAUUUCUGCUCGUUAUUUAAUCAUGAAUAGUUGGAGGGAGAGAGAAAUUGUGAAAUGUUGCUGAGACUUUUAUUACAGCGACCAGCCGGCUUGACCUUUGACCUCUACAGCAGGUGCCACUCUGAUUCUCAUUCACUUCUCAUUGUCCCCUGGUCAAACAGCAUCUCGGACCAGGUGUCUUUUGGUUAAAGCCUGAAAAUCACUUCACCUGCAGGGAAGUCUCUGAAGAAUGAAGACAGGAUCAGCGUGGACGUAAACAACAAGCAUGGCGGCUCCACGGGCCCUGUGACCUCACUGACUCUCUUUCCUUUGUUCCAACAUUGAUGGAUAAAAUGCUGAGUCAUCAGUACGGACUCGUGGUUUGUGGUCUGGAGACGAGGACAGACACGUUACUUUUAACACAGCUUGACACAGAAGAGUCCUGUUUGCUCCUCAGUGCAUCUGUGAACAUCUGGUCUGGAGGUGGUGAGGAGGCGUGGAGGAGGCGUGGAGGCGGUGAGGAGGCGUGGUGGAGGCGUGGAGGUGGUGAGGAGGCGUGGUGGAGGCGGCGUGGAGGAGGCAGCGUGGAGGCGUGGUGGAGGCGGCGUGAAACGAUCCCAGAGUACAUCUAAGGGUGGAAGCACAACUCGACGUACUAAAGCACAAAGCCAGAGAGCUGACCCUCCGCCCUCUCGUCCCCCC